GUAUGUGUCGGCUAGAAAAAAUCAGACAGAUUAAAUACAGAGCUUUAGGUCUUUUAUAGGAGCUGUUUGUUAUUAUCAGAGUCAUCAGCUCUUUUGUGAGGCAAGUCGACAAGCCUUGUAAUCGAGAAGCCUUCUCGUCUCGUUUCCCGACAGGUGACCAUGCGUUUGUGUUGUGAGUUGCCUUUUUAAAUCGAAUCUCAGUUGCGUCUGGGAUCGAGCUCAUCUCUGGGCCCGAAAAAUCAUGGAAACGCUGUCGUGCUCAGAGCUUGCUUGAAUUAGCCCAAUAUUGUGACAUGAAGACUGAGCUUCUGAAUUGUGAAUCUGAAGAGCAGAAUGAAGUUUUUCCGGCCAGAUCGGUUCUCCUGAACGUGGAGCCCAAAUGGAGUCGAGGAUUUGCUGUGGAACAUCCUCUUCUUUGCUGUAAAAUACGGAAUCGUCCCCUUCAGUCGUAAGCAGAGGCGGCUGAUGCACCGUGUCC
ensembl:lncRNA